UACGGGGGGGGCAAGCGUUGUUCGGAAUUACUGGGCGUAAAGGGCUCGUAGGUGGCCAACUAAGUCAGACGUGAAAUCCCUCGGCUUAACCGGGGAACUGCGUCUGAUACUGGAUGGCUUGAGAUUGGGGAGAGGGAUGCGGAAUUCCAGGUGUAGCGGUGAAAUGCGUAGAUAUCUGGAGGAACACCGGUGGCGAAGGCGGCAUCCUGGACCAACACUGACACUGAGGAGCGAAAGCCAGGGGAGCAAACGGG
rnacentral:rRNA from 1 species